GUUCAAAGCAAAAUGGAGGAAAUUUGAAGCCGAGCGUCGUGGGGUGGAGCUGGCAAAGGAGCACUUAAAAUUGGGACGAUUCGGCCCUAGGAAUUGAUGCUGUGUCAAAGUGGCGUCUAGUCGCAAUGGAAACCUGACAGCCCAAUGAAAGAGCUCCCCGCCAGGCGAGCGACCUGUCAUGAUGAUGUCAUCGGUGGCGGUCACCAAGGCGACGGCGACGACAACAGACUCAUCUCACAAGGGCUGCGCUUGUCUGCAGGGUCACGAGCAGCGCCGGAGUCUCUCCCGGCUGACUUUGUGCAGACGACACUCCGGACUGGUCGCCCAGCCAGUCCCGGGGCACAAACGGACGACCGAUCGCUCAUGCCCACAUCCACGCUUGUCACUGAGCGGCAAGUGACCCCCCACGCUGCCCGCACACCAAUCAGGUGAGUGGACCACUCGUGCGUUGCACCGCUCCGCCACGGCGCUUCCGAAAUGAUGUCUUCCGAUU